rnacentral:lncRNA from 1 species
UCACAGUGCAAUACAAACCUCUUGUUGAUUUCAUUCUCCAUGGGAAGAAAAUGGCUUGGUUGUUAUCUGUCAGGGGUCCCACUUGCUGUCUGUUAUUGCCCAUUGUCAGCUAUUUGAAAACAAAGUCGUAACAGUGUGUGAAGGUGGCGGUGAUCCUUAUCCUCCUGGUGAACAUCAGGACAGUUGUUGACUAGCUCUUAAUUUCUUACUGGGAUCAGAUUUAGAUAAUCCUAUUGUUGAUUAGUUCUUUAAUUAUCCAUGCAUUUCUCCCUUUACUAAUAAUGUAUAGUGGAUAUCCCAGCAAGACUAAUUCUGGUUCUGUGACUCUUCUCCAUCUAUAGGUAGAAAUGAUAUCAUAAAUCCCAGUUAUGUGAUCUGCUUUUAGAUUUAAUUCUACAUCAACAUUAUUGUAUGAAUGUAUUACUAAUACUUUAAAUGUUUUUAUCUCCCUUUCUAUGUGUGUGCUACAUUUUGAAAUAAAAAUUAGGGUACUAACUUCCUAAUAGAGCAAAAAUUCAAGUGCAGGGUUAAGAAAAGAAUUUGUUUGGUUAGAAUAAUUCACUAGCUGAUGAAUGGCACAUCGCUUUUGUUUAAUAUUACACAGUUAUGCCUGGAUUAAAUAAUAAUAAUAAACUUGAUAAAGCCCUCUGAAAAACAGCUGCUAAGCGUACUGCUUCUGGAAUGUAAUCAUUAGGAGUAAAUAUUUUCAUGUUCUAUACAAUUACAGAAUGUUAGUGGAAGUUUAUUGUAGACUAUUUGACAAUGAAUGUCAGUUGAUUUAUUAAAUGAAUUUUUUAAAGUACUUUUAUCCUUUUUAGGGCUGAUUGGGACUUUUAGGUCCCUGACAUAAAACAUUUCAAAUGAUUGGAAUGCUGGCUUCUCACUUCGCUCAUUGGAGUGUCCAUCUAGCUCUGCCUGAUGUUAGCACUCCUUUGAUGGUGUGGAAACGAGAUGCACAAAUCUUUCUCAAGUAGUGCAUGAGCAAAGUUGCUGUUUUCAGAAAAGAAAAAAAAUUCUAAAAAUUGCAACUAAUAAAGAACAAAGACAAGACUUUGAAGAAAGUGUGCCCUGUAUGUUAUUGCACACACUGUAAUGCAUGACUUUCAGCAUAAGGAUAACAUACGAUGCAAAAUAUUUCAUUCUGGAAAUCUCCACAGCUAGUUAAAAUAUUUGUAGAAGCUGCUUUGUGGAGACUUAGAAAAUCCCUUAUUUUAUUCAUUUUCUUAUCUCUCCAUUAAAGCACUAAUAUUUUAUACAGUUUCAGCAAGCAGGUUGACCAGUAUAUUUUAUGAACUCAGUUCCUAAUAUAUGGCUACUGGCUUUAUGCAUAGGAUCUCAGUAAACGCCACACAUAUAUAUCACUAUAUAAAUCCUAAUCAUCUGCUUUAAUAGAUGCAUAGUUCUUGGUUUAAAAUGUGAUAUGCAGAUAUUAAUUGUACAAUAUAUAUUUUGUGUCCAUGUAUUGAAUUUACUUAACAAAAAGGCCAUUAUAAAUAUAAGCCAUUUGUAACCUGAGUAUAAUUAGUUCAAAACAUUGUCUAGAAAGAUGAUUUGUAAAAAAUUUAGUCCAAUUUCAAAAGGGGGACAAAGAGGAACCAGGAACUCAAAAAAAGCAUUUUUAAGUAAAAUUGUAUCUUUAAAAAUUUCAGAUAAUUUCACACACAGUAACUUGCCCCUUUGAAGUAUAAAAUUCAGUGUUUUUAGUAUACUCAAUAUAUUGUACAUUGUCACUGUCUAACUUCAGAAUAUGUCAUUCCCCAAAGGCUCUGUAUCCAUUAGCAGCCAAACCUUCUCCUUCCACAGUAUCUGGGAACAAUCUAUCUGCUUUCUGACUAUGGAUUUGCCUUUCAUAUAAAUAUAAUUAGACAAUGUGGCCUCUUGUGCCUGGCUUCUAUUAAGGUUUUCAAGACUCAUCUGUAUUGUAGCAUGAGUCAGUAUGUUCUUUUUAUGGCUAAGUAAUAUUGUGUGUGUGUGUGUGUGUGUGUGUGUGUGUGUGUGUGUGUGUGAGAGAGAGAGAGAGAGAGAGAGAGAGAGAUUUUAUUUGCAAGUUAAUCAAAUAUUGGACAUUUAGAUUUUUUCUACUUUCUGGCUAGUAUAAGUAAUGCUGCUAGAACAUUUAUGUAAUUUUUGUAUGUGGUCAUGGUUUCUUUCACAUCUCAAAAACAGAUUAACAAAUUAAGUAAUUUGUAUUUAUUUAAAUAGAAUCUUUUUAAAGUCCUGCUUGGAGAAUGAAACUUAUGAUCUUGAUUAAAGUGGUCAAUUGAACUCUAGAAUAAUGCCUGUCAGGUAUGUCUGUAAGAAUAUUUUUGUGAGGAUGUCAUUUUGAUAUGGUUAUCAAUUUCAUGAGUCCUUGUAGAAAUUACAUUGUCUGAGAAUUUCAAAGUUCUCCACAUUCCUUGAAAGACAGCUAUCAAUCAUACUGGAGCGGGCACUCCUUAAACUUGGUAGGACCAUUCAGUCAAUGAAGGAGCAUUUUAAAGGUGUGGUUUCUUACAUUCUAACUAUCUCAACAUUUGCAUCUUGGAAAAAAGAUCAUCAAAUUGCCAAGCCUCCUGAGUGUUGUAGUUUAAGUUUUUAUUAUUAAGAAGUAAUUCAUAACGAGAGCAAAAGUGUCAAGAAUGUAUUUUGUGUGCAAAGAAUGAAUGUAUUUAACAAAAUCUUCUUAUUUGUAACAAUUUUUUUAAAAGUUGAAUGGAAAUUGAUUUCUCAUGUACUUGUACAUAAAUAAACAUUUCCUGUUGCCCCC